CGGACUUAAAAUCCGUCGAAUUGAAAAAUCGUG
rnacentral:tRNA from 1 species